rnacentral:rRNA from 1 species
UGGGGAAUAUUGGGCAAUGGGCGAAAGCCUGACCCAGCAACGCCGCGUGAAGGAAGAAGGCUUUCGGGUUGUAAACUUCUUUUCUCAGGGACGAAUAAAGUGACGGUACCUGAGGAAUGAGCCACGGCUAACUACGUGCC